UAGACAAGAUUUCCUUUUCAAAUUUUUGGU
rnacentral:piRNA from 1 species